rnacentral:rRNA from 1 species
AGAUUGAACGCUGGCGGCAGGCCUAACACAUGCAAGUCGAGCGGCAGCACGGGUACUUGUACCUGGUGGCGAGCGGCGGACGGGUGAGUAAUGCCUAGGAAUCUGCCUGGUAGUGGGGGAUAACGCUCGGAAACGGACGCUAAUACCGCAUACGUCCUACGGGAGAAAGCGAGGGGACCUUCGGGCCUUGCGCUAUCAGAUGAGCCUAGGUCGGAUUAGCUAGUUGGUGAGGUAAUGGCUCGACCAAGGCGACGACUCCGUAACUGGUCUGAGAGGAUGAUCAGUCACACGUGGAACUGGACGUACGACGGUCCAGACCUCCGUACGGGAGCAGCGUAGGUGGGGAAUUAGUUAGGACAAGUGGGACGAAGCC